rnacentral:tRNA from 1 species
GGGAGGAUUGCUCAGUGGGUAAGGGUGCUUGGUUUGAAACCAGGAGNGACUGGGUUCAAAUCCCCAGCACCCA